CCUACGGGGUGCAGCAGUGAGGAAUAUUGGUCAAUGGACGCAAGUCUGAACCAGCCAUGCCGCGUGCAGGAAGACGGCUCUAUGAGUUGUAAACUGCUUUUGUACGAGGGUAAACGCAGAUACGCGUAUCUGUCUGAAAGUAUCGUACGAAUAAGGAUCGGCUAACUCCGUUCCAGCCGCCGCGGUAAUACGGAGGAUUCAAGCGUUAUCCGGAUUUAUUGGGUUUAAAGGGUGCGUAGGCGGUCGGAUAAGUUAGAGGUGAAAUCCCGAGGCUCAACUUCGGAAUUGCCUCUGAUACUGUUCGGCUAGAGAGUAGUUGCGGUAGGCGGAAUGUAUGGUGUAGCGGUGAAAUGCUUAGAGAUCAUACAGAACACCGAUUGCGAAGGCAGCUUACCAAGCUACUUCUGACGUUGAGGCACGAAAGCGUGGGGAGCAAACAGGAUUAGAUACCCCAGUAGUC
rnacentral:rRNA from 1 species